rnacentral:rRNA from 1 species
GCCUACACAUGCAGUCGAACGGUAACAGGAAGCAGCUUGCUGCUUCGCUGACGAGUGGCGGACGGGUGAGUAAUGUCUGGGAAACUGCCUGAUGGAGGGGGAUAACUACUGGAAACGGUAGCUAAUACCGCAUAACGUCGCAAGACCAAAGAGGGGGACCUUCGGGCCUCUUGCCAUCGGAUGUGCCCAGAUGGGAUUAGCUAGUAGGUGGGGUAACGGCUCACCUAGGCGACGAUCCCUAGCUGGUCUGAGAGGAUGACCAGCCACACUGGAACUGAGACACGGUCCAGACUCCUACGGGAGGCAGCAGUGGGGAAUAUUGCACAAUGGGCGCAAGCCUGAUGCAGCCAUGCCGCGUGUAUGAAGAAGGCCUUCGGGUUGUAAAGUACUUUCAGCGGGGAGGAAGGCGAUAAGGUUAAUAACCUUGUCGAUUGACGUUACCCGCAGAAGAAGCACCGGCUAACUCCGUGCCAGCAGCCGCGGUAAUACGGAGGGUGCAAGCGUUUAUCGGAAUUACUGGGCGU